rnacentral:rRNA from 1 species
GACGAACGCUGGCGGCGUGCUUAACACAUGCAAGUCGAACGGAAAGGCCCUGCUUUUGUGGGGUGCUCGAGUGGCGAACGGGUGAGUAACACGUGAGUAACCUGCCCUUGACUUUGGGAUAACUUCAGGAAACUGGGGCUAAUACCGGAUAGGAGCUCCUGCUGCAUGGUGGGGGUUGGAAAGUUUCGGCGGUUGGGGAUGGACUCGCGGCUUAUCAGCUUGUUGGUGGGGUAGUGGCUUACCAAGGCUUUGACGGGUAGCCGGCCUGAGAGGGUGACCGGCCACAUGGGGACUGGGAUACGGCCCAGACUCCUACGGGAGGCAGCAGUGGGGAAUAUUGCACAAUGGGCGGAGGCCUGAUGCAGCAACGCCGCGUGCGGGAUGACGGCCUUCGGGUUGUAAACCGCUUUCGCCUGUGACGAAGCGUGAGUGACGGUAAUGGGUAAAGAAGCACCGGCUAACUACGU